AGGGUUUGAUUCUGGCUCAGAACGAACGCUGGCGGCGUGCUUAACACAUGCAAGUCGAGUGCGCGCCUGUAGCAAUACAGGUGGCGCACGGCGCACGGGUGCGUAACACGUGGGUAAUCUGCCCUCUGAUGGGGAAUAACCCGCCGAAAGGCGGGCUAAUACCGCAUAACAUUCCUUGGAUUUCGGUCCGGGGACUCAAAGGCGUAAGUCGUCGGAGGAGGAGCCCGCGCACGAUUAGCUAGUUGGUAGGGUAAUGGCCUACCAAGGCUUUGAUCGUUAGCUGGUCUGAGAGGAUGGCCAGCCACACUGGAACUGAGACACGGUCCAGACUCCUACGGGAGGCAGCAGUGGGGAAUCUUGCACAAUGGGCGAAAGCCUGAUGCAGCGACGCCGCGUGGGGGAUGAAGCAUUUCGGUGUGUAAACCCCUUUCGAUCCGGACGAAUACCUCGCAAGAGGGGUGACGGUACGGAUAUAAGAAGCCCCGGCUAACUACGUGCCAGCAGCCGCGGUAAGACGUAGGGGGCCAGCGUUGUUCGGAAUUACU
rnacentral:rRNA from 1 species